UUAGUUCCUAAAAUCUCACAAAUAUUAAAUACAGUUAUUCCUGACGCCUCUCUUGCUUGUAUUUGACUCGUUUCUGGUGAAAUUAGUUCGUAGAAAUGGUUUAGUGUCUUCGAACAAGUCCGUUAGCAUCUUAGCCAUUUUCAGAGGACAUAACGUUAACAUUAGGCUAACUCCAUAGACAGCUCUUAUUGAAUGUUUGGGAUUUUAUUCAUAUCUUUAUGUGUAGAUGAGAGGUUUUGACAGUUCUGUAAUAGUUUUGCUGGUAAUUUUUCAGUGGGUGAUUGGAAAUAGGCUCAUUUAUUUAACCUAAACAUAUAGUCUACUCUACACUGUACCGUUAAUCGGUGACGUCACUUACAUCAGCGGGACAAUUAACUGAAUCUAGUUCAAACGUAUUUUUAUCUCUCAUGGUAAACAAAUGUUGAUAAAAAACUGUUCUGUGAUUUCAGAAGAAAAACAAAAGCACGGCAAGAUGGGAGGCUCCAAGAUUUCACAAUUUCUGAAGGGAGCCGCAGAUGGAGAAGUAAGGAACACAAGUGAACAGGUGAAGCUUCUUAAAAUUUUAAGAGGGCUUUGACAUCCACAAAUAAGAAGUAUGAGCAAUAUUAAAUAAGUAAACCUAGAAGCAAAUUAUGUUAUGUUAAAAGAAUGUUUUCUGUAUAUUCUUCUUUCUCUUUUCUACAUUUCACCUGCUCUAGCUUGGUUCCUUGUAAUAAACCUGGCUGGCAUUGUAUACUAAAUAUUGUUGGCUCUGUGACAAAUUGCUUCUUAUGUUCCUACAUUUUUCCAUGUUGAUGGCCUGCACCCCAGACUCAGAGCGGACCUCCUGUCGGACAACAUCUCCCAGGCACAAUGAACAAUAUGGUAGGUUUUCUGGAUUCCCAGUUGAAGACAUCAGUACAUCAGAUGUUGGCCUGGACAGCUGUAUCUACAGUACACCACACUGACCUCUGCUUUUGCAUAGAAGGGAGGAACUUGUCAACAAAUCUACCUCACAGCGCAUCAAUGAAAGCAGUUUGGCAAUUACAGACGGGCAUGUUGGAUCAGGGUUAGAUCUGAAUUCUGCAGGUUUUCUGGAUUCCCAGUUGAAGACAUCAGUACAUCAGAUGUUGGCCUGGACAGCUGUAUCUACAGUACACCACACUGACCUCUGCUUUUGCAUAGAAGAUGCAGUUAUGUCCGUUUCGGCUGGCCAGAUCGGAACAGCCCUGAAUGGGAAGAUGGCAGAGCUAAGACUGGCAAUGUCCAGGAAAAAUGUUAAUCAAAAAUGAGUGUUUCCCCAGUGAGUGAGUUUGGGAAUAUUUUGAAAUGAAAUACUGAGGGAAAAAAGUGAGCGCUUUGAAAAGGCUUUAAAAAUAAAAUAAAGUCUGAAGUUGAAGUUAAAUGAAGUUAAAGUUUUACUUGAAAAGUGUGUAGUUGUCAAGUCUGUGCUG